GAGGCCCAGUCCUCUCGGGGCCAGUUGUCCUGCUAAGCGACCCGCUCAAAGGUGAGCAGGAAGGCUUCAACAU